rnacentral:rRNA from 1 species
ACUCCUACGGGAGGCAGCAGUAGGGAAUCUUCCACAAUGGGCGCAAGCCUGAUGGAGCAACACCGCGUGAGUGAAGAAGGGUUUCGGCUCGUAAAGCUCUGUUGUUAAAGAAGAACACGUAUGAGAGUAACUGUUCAUACGUUGACGGUAUUUAACCAGAAAGUCACGGCUAACUACGUGCCAGCAGCCGCGGUAAUACGUAGGUGGCAAGCGUUAUCCGGAUUUAUUGGGCGUAAAGAGAGUGCAGGCGGUUUUCUAAGUCUGAUGUGAAAGCCUUCGGCUUAACCGGAGAAGUGCAUCGGAAACUGGAUAACUUGAGUGCAGAAGAGGGUAGUGGAACUCCAUGUGUAGCGGUGGAAUGCGUAGAUAUAUGGAAGAACACCGAGUGGCGAAGGCGGCUACCUGGUCUGCAACUGACGCUGAGACUCGAAAGCAUGGGUAGCGAACAGGAUUAGAUACCCUGGUAGGAUAGCG